rnacentral:rRNA from 1 species
UACGUAGGGUGCAAGCGUUGUCCGGAAUUAUUGGGCGUAAAGAGCUCGUAGGCGGUCUGUCGCGUCGGCUGUGAAAUCCCGAGGCUCAACCUCGGGUCUGCAGUCGAUACGGGCAAACUAGAGUAUUGCAGGGGAGACUGGAAUUCCUGGUGUAGCGGUGAAAUGCGCAGAUAUCAGGGGGAACACCGGUGGCGAAGGCGGGUCUCUGGGCAAUAACUGACGCUGAGGAGCGAAAGCGUGGGGAGCGAACAGG